rnacentral:rRNA from 1 species
UACGUAGGGGGCUAGCGUUGUUCGGAAUUACUGGGCGUAAAGCGCGCGUAGGCGGCUUUGUAAGUUAGAGGUGAAAGCCCGGGGCUCAACCCCGGAACUGCCUUUAAGACUGCAUCGCUUGAAUCCAGGAGAGGUGAGUGGAAUUCCGAGUGUAGAGGUGAAAUUCGUAGAUAUUCGGAAGAACACCAGUGGCGAAGGCGGCUCACUGGACUGGUAUUGACGCUGAGGUGCGAAAACGUGGGGAGCAAACAGG